UUAGCUGCACAUGCGCAGUGCUGCAGAUGGAGUAAACUGAUCUGAGUUUUCCUUCUAACCAGAUGAAUAUUUUUAUAUUAUUUGUCAGCAAUACGAGCCCAUGGGUCGAGUCGAAACUUAUGACGAGGCCUAGAUGUUGCCUGAACUUUUUUUCUCUCCACUGUGCCUGUUAGCAGCGUAUAUGCCUUCUAUCGAGUUAGAUAAACAAUCUCCGCUGCCUCAGUUGGUCGUAUUCCCCCCUCUAGCUUGCCGCCCCCACAGGCCACAGUCUCUACGGGUCAGCUGCAACUCAUCAAAAUGAAAGCGCUUGCUCUGGGAAAGGGACGAGGUGAAGGAGAAGACUUGACGGGCUCCGGUCCGCCGUUCCGAGGGGCAUUAAUAAAUGCGGCGGUUUCCAAGCGACCGGUCAAGACGUCCUAUGCAUGCAGCAGUAUGAGGCUAAAAAGGAAUGAGGGCCCAGCCACUGCAGUGCCAGUCCCAAGCUCAGACAAAACAGGAGGUUUGAACCAGGAAGGGCAUCCGACAAAGCCUGUGCCAAGUUGUGUGUGGAUCAGAUGGUGUCCCCUUGAUGGAAGGA